GUAAUAUUUACGUGUUGCUAUUCAAUAUUGUUAUGAAGUGAAAGUAAUAGUUAGGUAGAUUUUGGUAAUGCUCUACAUGAUUGAAGCUCAUUCGUUUGUUAUUGUCAAUAUUUCAUAGCUGUUAUAUAUUCAUAGUAUGUUGCAUUUCUUUUUUGAUCCGAAGGAUGCUAAGUUGAGUAUUCGUCAAUGGAAGUAUUAGUCUUUAUACUUUAAUUAAAUAAAGGGGCAGCACCAUUUUUAAUCUUUGAUUUUAGUUGAUGUUUUUCAUUAUAAUAUUAAGUAAAUCUUAGCAAUAGAAUUUUAUGGUUCUGAUUAUGCCCAGAAUAAUGAUAUCCUCGAUUCUUCCUUGAGAUGUAUUUAUCCAUUUCUUUUAUCUUGUUUAAAAUGACAGCAUAAUGAAGGUUCACAUUUUUUUUAUUCAAAUUCAUGUCAAUUACAUGAAUAUUCGUGGUGGGUGGCUUUGAGAACAUUCAUAAGUAGAUCUAUAGAGAUAACGUAACAAUGUGAUGAGAUGUUGAACUAGCAUUGUGUUUAGUAAAUAGAAGUUUCCUAAUUCCCAUUUGAAAUAAUUGUUGUAUUACCUUGAGCGUGAUUUUUCUUUUUAGGGUGAUUGAGCCCUGACAUGUUGAGAAGCUCACUUUUUAUGAUAAACAAUUCAUAAAAAUCCUUGGGUGUGGUAGGAUAUUGAUGCAAGGGUCCUG
rnacentral:misc_RNA from 1 species